UUCUAACGAGAAGCGUAACGAGCUUGCGGACAGUCUCAGGCGGGCAGUUUGACUGGGGCGGUCGCCUCCGAAAGAGUAACGGAGGCGCCCAAAGGUUCCCUCAGCGCGGACGGAAACCGCGCGAAGAGUGCAAAGGCAGAAGGGAGCUUGACUGCGAGACGGACAGGUCGAGCAGGGACGAAAGUCGGGCUUAGUGAUCCGGUGGUAGAGAGUGGAAUUGCCAUCGCUCAACGGAUAAAAGCUACCCUGGGGAUAACAGGCUUAUCUCUCCCAAGAGUCCAUAUCGACGGGGAGGUUUGGCACCUCGAUGUCGGCUCAUCACAUCCUGGGGCUGAAGUAGGUCCCAAGGGUUGGGCUGUUCGCCCAUUAAAGUGGUACGCGAGCUGGGUUCAGAACGUCGUGAGACAGUUCGGUCCCUAUCCAUCGCGGGCGUAAGAAACUUGAAAGGGGCUGCUCCUAGUACGAGAGGACCGGAGUGGACCGACCAAUGGUGUACCAGUCAUGGCGCCAGCCGUGCAGCUGGGUAGCUACGUCGGGGACGGAUAAACGCUGAAAGCAUCUAAGCGUGAAACCAGCCUA
rnacentral:rRNA from 1 species